AUCUUUACCAGGUCGGCUUUAGUGCAAGUGGUUACUUCCUCAUGCUGGACUUUAUCUGUCACUUCACUUCACAAUUUGAAAUCUGCUGAAAGUUCCCCAGACAGCAACUUAUCAAAGAAAACACAAAGAACUUCCCAUUUCUCUUCUUUAUCUGAUAGGAGUGACAGAAUUAUCUACCAUUGCUUUCAGACUCCAAACAACAGUACUAAACAAAGGAGAAAAAAUGAAAGGAGGAGAAGAAAUGAAGGGCCAUAGAGAAUGGAGUAUGCCGAACAUGUG